rnacentral:rRNA from 1 species
UACGAAGGGUGCAAGCGUUACUCGGAAUUACUGGGCGUAAAGCGUGCGUAGGUGGUUUGUUAAGUCUGAUGUGAAAGCCCUGGGCUCAACCUGGGAACUGCGUCCGAUACUGGAGGGCUCGAAUCCGGGAGAGGGAUGUGGAAUUCCAGGUGUAGCGGUGAAAUGCGUAGAUAUCUGGAGGAAUACCGGUGGCGAAGGCGGCAUCCUGGACCGACUAUGACGCUGAGUGAGCGAAAGCUAGGGGAGCAAACGGG